UACAGAGGGGGCGAGCGUUGUUCGGAAUUACUGGGCGUAAAGGGCGCGUAGGCGGCCUCCUAAGUCGAACGUGAAAUCCCCGGGCUCAACCCGGGAACUGCGUCGGAUACUGGAUGGCUUGAAUUCGGGAGAGGGAUGCAGAAUUCCAGGUGUAGCGGUGAAAUGCGUAGAUAUCUGGAGGAAUACCGGUGGCGAAGGCGGCAUCCUGGACCGACAUUGACGCUGAUGAGCGAAAGCUAGGGGAGCAAACGGG
rnacentral:rRNA from 1 species